AUGGCGGCGGCGGCGGAGGAGGAGGGGCGUGCGCCGACCAAGUACGUGCUGAUUACCGGCGGCGUCGUCAGCGGCCUCGGCAAGGGCGUCACUGCCAGCAGCGUCGGCGUCGUCCUCAAGUCCUGCGGCCUGCGCGUCACCUGCAUCAAGAUCGACCCAUACUUAAACACAGAUGCUGGUACUAUGUCUCCUUUUGAGCAUGGUGAGGUGUUUGUGCUUGAUGAUGGUGGAGAGGUGGACCUGGAUUUAGGGAAUUACGAGCGUUUCUUGGAUGUUACUCUUACGAGGGAAAAUAACAUUACCACUGGGAAGAUAUAUCAGUCUGUCAUUGAGAAGGAGAGGAAGGGUGACUAUCUUGGAAAGACGGUCCAGGUUGUUCCUCAUGUAACUGAUGAAAUAAAACAAUGGAUACAAUCAGUAUCCUCUGUUCCUGUGGAUGGGCAGACUCGUCCAGCUGAUGUUUGUGUUAUCGAAUUGGGCGGCACUGUAGGUGAUAUUGAAUCAAUGCCAUUCAUUGAAGCUCUACGUCAGUUGUCAUUUUCUCUUGGUAAGGACAAUUUUUGCCUCAUACAUGUGAGCCUUGUUCCAGUAUUGGGUGUAGUUGGUGAGCAAAAAACUAAGCCAACACAACACAGUGUACGAGAACUAAGGGCCUUGGGUCUUACUCCUGAUCUUCUAGCAUGCCGAUCAGCACAGCCACUAAUAGGAUCCGCGAAGGAGAAGCUUUCACAAUUUUGUCAUGUACCGGUUGAGAACAUACUUAACAUCCAUGACGUCCCAAAUAUAUGGCAUGUUCCCCUUAUUCUUAGAAACCAAAAGGCUCAUGAGGCUAUAAUCAAACAACUAAACCUUUCCAGGUCUGCUGGCCCCCCUGAAUUACGAGAUUGGACGCUGAUGGCCGAGUCAUAUGAUAACCUCAGUACCUCUGUUAAAAUUGCUUUGGUUGGGAAGUACACUAAUCUGUCAGAUUCUUACUUAUCAGUGGUGAAGGCUCUCCUACAUGCCAGUGUUGCAUGUUCACAGAAACCUUCUAUCCAGUGGGUUUCAGCUUCAGAUCUCGAAGAUGCAGCUGCUGCAAGUGCACCAGAUGCUCAUGCUAAAGCUUGGGAAACUCUUAAGGGUUCCUCGUGCAUUUUGAUACCUGGAGGAUUCGGAGAUCGUGGAAUAUCUGGGAUGAUAUUGGCUGCAAAAUAUGCUCGUGAGAAUAAAGUACCAUAUCUUGGCAUAUGCUUGGGAAUGCAGAUAUCGGUGAUUGAGAUGUCCAGACAUGUUUUGGGCCUGGGAAAUGCAGACAGUGAAGAGUUCAACACAGACACAUCAGGUCGUGUUGUUAUGUACAUGCCUGAGGUAUCAAAAACACACAUGGGAAACACGAUGAGGUUGGGUUGCCGUCGAACGUUCUUCCGUAAACCAGAUUGUCUGACAUCGAAACUGUAUGGAAAUCCUCCACAUGUAGAUGAGCGCCAUCGUCACAGAUAUGAGGUCAAUCCUAGCUUUGUUCCAAUGCUUGAGAAUGCUGGACUUCAGUUUGUUGGUUGUGAUGAAAGUGGAAAUAGGAUGGAGAUUGUAGAGCUACAAGAUCACCCAUUUUACAUAGGUGUUCAGUUCCAUCCAGAAUUCAAGUCGAGGCCUCGAAAACCCUCGCCUCCAUUUACAGGUCUGAUACUGGCAGCGACUGAACACAUGCGAACACUUACAAAUGUCUCCAAUGGUGACGCUGGAGCUUCUGAGUAG
rnacentral:rRNA from 1 species